rnacentral:ncRNA from 1 species
UAAACUGAGGAGCGCUGCAACGAAUCACAGUUCGUGAGGCUCGGUUUAUGCGGAAAGUGUAACAACGGCGCUCGUUCAUU